rnacentral:lncRNA from 10 species
CUCUUUUGAUUCCGCCCCGCGGCGAGGUUGCUGUGAUAAUUGGUCGGCUUUGACCCUUGCAGCAUUUUGAUUGGCUCCAGCGUGUACGGGGUCGACCUUGGUGGCGUAUCAGCUUGGUACUCUCAUUGGCUAACGUUCCAGGGUCGAAGGACAGGUAAAGCGUCUGCUCCUUCCGCUGCUGCCGGCAGAUAAGGAUGCCCGUGGCAGCCACAGCAGUAGCAAUGAUGGCGGCGAUGAUGCCCCCGAUGAUGCCGCCUGUGGCCCCUGCGCCUGCUGUGUUGGGGGUCUCUGCAAGGAGAGGGACAGCGUGAGGGGGUCUCCAGGAGGAAGCCACAGCUCCUUAUUCCAAGCGACCAUCCCACCCCACAUCAUCGCCUGCCUGUCUAUGUCCUCUCCCAUGGGCAGGGGACAUUCUUUCAUUCAACUCAAACUGCUGAGCAUGAGGAAGGAGCGAGGAUGUGUGCCCCGCAUG